rnacentral:rRNA from 1 species
CAGCAGCCGCGGUAAUACCAACCCCGCGAGUGGUCGGGACGUUUAUUGGGCCUAAAGCGUCCGUAGCCGGCCCGGUAAGUCCCUCCUUAAAGCCCACGGCUCAACCGUGGGAGCGGAGGGAUACUGCCGGGCUAGGGGGCGGGAGAGGCCGGGGGUACUCCUGGGGUAGGGGCGAAAUCCUAUAAUCCCAGGAGGACCACCAGUGGCGAAGGCGCCCGGCUAGCACGCGCCCGACGGUGAGGGACGAAAGCUGGGGGAGCGAACCGGAUUAGAUACCCGGGUAGUCCUGGCUGUAAACGAUGCGGACUAGGUGUCGGGCAAGCUAAGGGCUUGUCCGGUGCCGCAGGGAAGCCGUUAAGUCCGCCGCCUGGGGAGUACGGCCGCAAGGCUGAAACUUAAAGGAAUUGGCGGG